rnacentral:rRNA from 1 species
ACAGCAGCCGCGGUAAGACGUAGGUGGCGAGCGUUGUCCGGAAUUACUGGGCGUAAAGGGCGUGUAGGCGGCCUGUUAAGUCAGACGUGAAAUCCCUGGGCUUAACCUUGGGACUGCGUUUGAUACUGAUGGGCUUGAGGACAGGAGAGGAAAGCGGAACUCCGUGUGUAGCGGUGAAAUGCGUAGAUAUACGGAAGAACACCAGUGGCGAAGGCGGCUUUCUGGACUGUCCCUGACGCUGAGGCGCGAAAGCCAGGGGAGCGAACGGGAUUAGAUACCCCGGUAGUCCUGGCUGUAAACGAUGGGUACUAGGUGUGGGGGGUAUCGACCCCCUCCGUGCCGGAGUUAACACAAUAAGUACCCCGCCUGGGGAGUACGGCCGCAAGGUUGAAACUCAAAUAAAUUGACGGC